rnacentral:rRNA from 1 species
GACGAACGCUGGCGGCGUGCUUAACACAUGCAAGUCGAACGGUGAAGCGCCUUCCUUUUUGGUGGGUGUGGAUGAGUGGCGAACGGGUGAGUAACACGUGAGUAACCUGCCCCCUUCUUCUGGAUAACCGCAUGAAAGUGUGGCUAAUACGGGAUAUUCUGGGUCUGUCGCAUGAUGGGUCUGGGAAAGAUAUUGUUUCGGUGGGGGAUGGGCUCGCGGCCUAUCAGCUUUUGGUGGGGUGAUGGCCUACCAAGGCGGUGACGGGUAGCCGGCCUGAGAGGGUGGACGGUCACACUGGGACUGAGACACGGCCCAGACUCCUACGGGAGGCAGCAGUGGGGAAUAUUGCACAAUGGGCGCAAGCCUGAUGCAGCGACGCCGCGUGAGGGAUGGAGGCCUUCGGGUUGUGAACCUCUUUCGCCAGUGAAGCAGGCCUGCCUCGUUUGUGGGUGGGUUGACGGUAGCUGGAUAAGAAGCGCCGGCUAACUACGUG